rnacentral:rRNA from 1 species
ACAGCUCAAAUUUGAAAUCUGGCGUUUUCAGCGUCCGAGUUGUAAUUUGUAGAGGAUGCUUCUGGGUAGCCACCGGUYUAAGUUCCUUGGAACAGGACGUCAUAGAGGGUGAGAAUCCCGUAUGUGACCGGCCGGCACCCUCCACGUAGCUCCUUMGACGAGUCGAGUUGUUUGGGAAUGCAGCUCUAAAUGGGAGGUAAAUUUCUUCUAAAGCUAAAUAUUGGCCAGAGACCGAUAGCGCACAAGUAGAGUGAUCGAAAGAUGAAAAGCACUUUGGAAAGAGAGUUAAAAAGCACGUGAAAUUGUUGAAAGGGAAGCGCUUGCAACCAGACUUGUYUGCGGUGUUCCGCCGGUCUUCUGACCGGUCUACUCAUCGUAUGCAGGCCAGCAUCAUUUGGGGCCGCUGGAUAAAACMUUAKGAAUGUAGCUCCUCGGAGUGUUAUAGCCUUUGUUAAUACAGCGAGUCCCGAGUGAGGUCCGCGCUUCGGCUAGGAUGCUGGCGUA